GUCCCAGACUCCUACGGGAGGCAGCAGUGGGGAAUAUUGGGCAAUGGGCGAAAGCCUGACCCAGCAACGCCGCGUGAAGGAAGAAGGCUUUCGGGUUGUAAACUUCUUUUGACAGGGAAGAGCAGAAGACGGUACCUGUCGAAUAAGCCACGGCUAACUACGUGCCAGCAGCCGCGGUAAUACGUAGGUGGCAAGCGUUGUCCGGAUUUACUGGGUGUAAAGGGCGUGUAGCCGGGAAGGCAAGUCAGAUGUGAAAUCCGGAGGCUCAACCUCCGAAUUGCAUUUGAAACUGUUUUUCUUGAGUACUGGAGAGGCAGACGGAAUUCCUUGUGUAGCGGUGAAAUGCGUAGAUAUAAGGAGGAACACCAUUGGCGAAGGCGGUCUGCUGGACAGCAACUGACGGUGAGGCGCGAAAGCGUGGGGAGCAAACAGGAUUAGAUACCCCAGUAGUA
rnacentral:rRNA from 1 species